rnacentral:rRNA from 1 species
UACGUAGGGGGCAAGCGUUGUUCGGAAUUAUUGGGCGUAAAGCGCUCGUAGGCGGGAUUGGAAGUCCGUGUUGAAAGACCUCGGCUCAACUGAGGGACCGGCUCGGAUACUCUAAUUCUUGAGGCAAUCAGAGGAUGAUGGAAUUCCCGGUGUAGCGGUCGAAAUGCGUAGAUAUCAGGAGGAACACCUGCGGUGUAGACGGCUUUCUGGACCAUUGCUGACGCUGAGACACGAAAGCGUGGGUAGCAAACAGG